UUCUGCAGGAGAAAAGCUGGAAAGCAGGAUGGAAGCAAAGAAGCCCCGUGACUCCUCCCUGAGCCCCAGACAGCCCAUGAACUGCCUUCCUGGGAAUGGUGGGAUGGGCUGGACUCUGGAUUGCUCCCUCUGGAUGUGUGGCUCUCCCCUCAGGAACUCCAGGAACUCCUGGUGCUGCCUGGGCCGAUGGAUUGGACGCCCCAGCCCCUCCGUUCCUGCCCAGCCACUGGGGCCGUGUCGAGUGGUGGCACUGCCAGCCCUGCAGUGCGAGGUAGCCUGGAAACUGCACAGAGCUGAGUCAUGGGAUUUAAAGGGACCAACCAAGGGAGGUGAAGAAAGAAGGAAGAAGGGAACUGAGGCAUGAGCCAAGCAGCACCAAGUUGCUGUGUAAGCAGGGAAUAACUCCUGUCAGCAGCAAGGUCCCCACUGAAGUGGCAGCUGCAGUUGUUCCUGUGGUGUGGGCCAGUGGAACUCCAGGAGAGUGGAAGAGGGCAGAACCUGUAGGAUGUCACUGCAAGAACCUGCCAAGAAAACCAAUGGCCAAGGUGAUUGAUGAGUGCAGGACCUGAGAGAACCCCCUGAAAUGACAACCUUGAGUGGUUUCCAGUAUUAGAUUGAAAAGAUGCCCUUUGCUGCAUCUCCUUGAGCAAGGAAAGCCAAGAAACCUUUGCUUUUGCAGGAGAAAAUGGAGAAAGCAGGAAGGAAGAAGAGAAGCCCCGUGACUCCUCCCUGAGCCCCAGACAGCCCAUGAACUGCCUUCCUGGGAAUGGUGGGACGGGCUGGACUCUGGAUUGCUCCCUCUGGAUGUGUGGAACUGCAGGAACUCCUGGUGCCGCCUGGGCCGAUGGAUUGGAUGCCCCAGCCCCUCCGUUCCUGCCCAGCCCCUGGGUCUGUGUCGAGUGGUGGCACUGCCAGCCCUGCAGGUGAAGUGGGAAGGGCCUUUGCAGGUCUUGUGGGUCACAUUUCUAGCAGUGGGAUGUAGCCUGGAAACUCCCCAGAGCUGAGCCAAGGGAUUGAAAGGGACCAACCAAGGGAGGUGAAGAAAGAAGGAAGAAGGGAACUGAGGCAUGAGCCAAGCAGCACCAAGUUGCUGUGUAAGCAGGUGAGUUGUCUUGAGGUUCCUAAGGCAGGCACUGAGGACUUUGAGGGCUGCAGACAGAGAAGACCUGGGAAGGCCCUUGGAAACCUUAUAAGGGUAGGUGUGUAUGGUGAUAAGUGUUGGAAAAUGUCCUGAAUAUGGAACAGGAAUGCAGGGAACAAAUAGGAACCCUCCUGUAAUGCUGACCCCUCCCAUCAGCUGCACUGGAGACACCUCUGUGUGCCCUUUGGGAGCGGAUUGCCAGGACACCCGUCGGGCUGGGAUCAUGGCAGGGUGUUGUAAGCAAGGAAUGCCUGGCUUCUAAACCUCUCCAACUGAGUCUUAGAGGCUUCUUUGAAGAGCUGAUUUCAGGCAGCAGAAUUGGCCCCCAGGAGGGACUCUGUGCCUGCUCUCCCGUGGCUCCAAGGGAUCUCUGGCCCUUCACGCCGGCACCAAGAUUUUCUCGGGAAGGGCCUCAGAUCCCCGGACCAGUCUGGGACACAGGCAAGAUCCCCCUGCAGUUUAGGACCAAAUUGGGCCCCUUGGAGGGACAGUGCUGUUGGUGCCCCCCGGGUUGGGGCACCCUGAGGACUCCAGCGCGCACCGAAAGGAUUAUUCGGGGAGAUCCUCGGGGUGCCCGGCCCUGGGGAGCUCAAAGCAAGGUCCCUGCAAUGGAUUCAGGCAUUGCUGAGAGUAUCCCAGGGGUACCUGUCCCUGCUAGACAUGGAGCUCUCUAAUGGGCUGUAACUGGGUUCUAAAAGUGGUGCUCCAAGUGCCAAAGGAAGUGUGGGAUUGGGAUUAAGAAAUGAGCAGUGAUGGUCCAAUUGGCUGUUUUCUCUUGACUGUAAUGGUGAGAGCUGCAGGAGUGCCAGGUGUGUGUUCCAGUCCCCAGCAUUUGGUUUGCACGUGUCCUGGUCAGACACAGGUCCAACUUCCUCAGUCCUUAACACAACAGAAGGAGUGUGGCUUCUUGUUUUCCUGUGUCUUUGAUGAGGUGUUGACUCAGUACCUUUCUUGGAGCUGCUGUUGGAUGAAGAGAUGCCCUCAAUUCACCUGUAAGGGCCUGGUUUUCUUCCCUGCUUUCCGAACUUGUCCAGGAGAUGGAAUUCCAGUGCUACAGAAGAGAUGGCUCGUGGUGCUCCCAAAAGGAGCCUUUGUGCCUUCAGGGCAAGUUGUGGUGCCCCUGGAGCUGUUGGGAGAAGCAGAGGGUUGGCAGGGAGAGGCCUGGAAUGAUGUUGCUGUGGCACAGACGUUGCUCCCUGGCAGGUUCUUGGGUUGGAUUCCUUGGCUGCCACUUGGCAAGGCCUGGAAGGGCCUCAGUUGUGUAGGGAACCAAACCUGGAAUGGGAAAGCAAAGGUGGGGAGGUUCUGGUUUCAGAAAGGAUCAUUGCCUUCUCUUUCUGCAGGGACACUGAGCUGCUCCAGCUGUGGCAAGAAGUGCCCUGAUGCCUGAGUGCUCUCCAUACCCCCAGGAUGGAUCCCAACUGUCAGCCCCUGGCUCCAUCCCUUGAGAAGAUGGUGUUCCUGCAAGCCCAGCUGCUGUGCUGGUGGUCCUGUGGGCACCUCCUGCCCUGGCCUGCUGUGACUGUGUUUGUGUUGCAGCUCAAUAAAGUCCCUUUCAGGGGUGA